UGGGGAAUUUUGGACAAUGGGCGAAAGCCUGAUCCAGCAAUGCCGCGUGUGUGAAGAAGGCCUUCGGGUUGUAAAGCACUUUUGUCCGGAAAGAAAUCCUUGGCUCUAAUACAGUCGGGGGAUGACGGUACCGGAAGAAUAAGCACCGGCUAACUACGUGCCAGCAGCCGCGGUAAUACGUAGGGUGCAAGCGUUAAUCGGAAUUACUGGGCGUAAAGCGUGCGCAGGCGGUUUGCUAAGACCGAUGUGAAAUCCCCGGGCUCAACCUGGGAACUGCAUUGGUGACUGGCAGGCUAGAGUAUGGCAGAGGGGGGUAGAAUUCCACGUGUAGCAGUGAAAUGCGUAGAGAUGUGGAGGAAUACCGAUGGCGAAGGCAGCCCCCUGGGCCAAUACUGACGCUCAUGCACGAAAGCGUGGGGAGCAAACAGGAUUAGAUACCCUGGUAGUCCACGCCCUAAACGAUGUCAACUAGUUGUUGGGGAUUCAUUUCCUUAGUAACGUAGCUAACGCGUGAAGUUGACCGCCUGGGGAGUACGGUCGCAAGAUUAAAACUUAAAUGAAUUGNCGGGGUC
rnacentral:rRNA from 1 species